AGGGCGUCGUGCCUUUAUAAGACUGCGUUAAUGUUUCCGUGGAGUUAUCCUUUCCGUUGUUGUUUAUUGCUUGUUAAACAUGGCUUCAUUUGCAAAGGUGGUUGUGUGUGUCCUCAUUGCUUGUGUCUGUAAUGCAUUCGGUUUUCCGAAGAGAGAUGUGAACUUUAAGGCCUCUGCAGUUGACCGCCAAAGUGAUGAUGUGGUUGUCACCACAACACCCGUUCCCCACAACCAGACCACCUCUGCCCAUACUGAAGCUGGUGGUGGUGCAAGUGAAGAUGCUCUGGCUACUACCCCAGCACCUAAUCCACACAACCAGACAACUUCUGCACAAACUGAAGUUACUGAUGGAGCCAGUGAAGAUGCUGUGGACCGCCAAAGUGAUGAUGUGGUUGUCGCCACAACACCCAAUCCCCACAACCAGACCACAUUUGCCCCUACUGAAGCUGGUGGUGGUGCAAGUGAAGAUGCUGUGGCUACUACCCAGCACCUAAUCCACACAACCAGACAACUUCUGCACAAACUGAAGUUACUGGUAGGGUGUCUUUUUAGUUUUUGUGUGGUUUUCUGCAAGUUUGGUUUUUGUAUAAAAUGUGUAAGUGUGUCCCUUGGCUUCUCUCUGGCCCCCUCACUCAUGUGGAAUCCCAAGAUGGAGCCAGUGAAGAUGCUGUGGACCGCCAAAGUGAUGUGGUUGUCGCCACAACACCCAAUCCCCACAACCAGACCACAUCUGCCCCUACUGAAGCUGGUGGUGAGGUUUCCUUUUAACGAUAUUUAUGGGUUCUGUUGAGUCUUGGUUGUGUUGGUUAAAUGUUCACUUUUGUAUGGUUAUCCUAAGAUGGAGCAAGUGAAGAUGCUGUGGCUACCACCCCAACACCAAAUCCCCCAACUACAUCUGACCACACUGCAGCUACGGUAAGGACAUCAGUGCAUGUCUGUUUUGAUGGAACACUUUGAAUGUUUGCGCCCCCCUUUUGACAGUGUCGCUUUCUAUUUGUGUGUAAUCGCAAGAUGAUGCAAGUGAGGGUGCUGUGGCUGCCCAAACUGGAACUACUGGUAAGGGAGUUAUGAUUAUACAAGGAACCACUUGGAUGGUUCAAACUGUUUGCUCUUAAAAAUGUAUUAACAAGGAAUCUGAUGCAGUGCAAGGGUCUAGGAACUUUGAGUGUUGUGGUUUGGCAUGGUCACUCGUUAAUGUUUAAAAAUGCAGCCUGGCAGGUCUCUAACAAAUCUAUACCUGUAGUCACAAAUGUUUGUUUGGUUGAAGUUGAACAGCUCUGCCUGGAGCAGUGGCAUACCGUAGGAUUUCACCCAAUAAAUGUGCAAUUAAAAAGGUUUUUGUUUCUUCU
rnacentral:lncRNA from 1 species